UGGUCACCAAAUGCCAAAUAUAUGAAAAAGUGCUUCUCACCUAAAAGCUCCUGUGGAAGUGCUUCCUGAGGCAACACCAAACACAACCACAUCACUCAUGUAUUACACUUUCAACCUGAUUCAUUCCCAAAGUUAAGAAAUCUUGAUUCGAUUAAAAGAGAGUUCUUCAGGACCCACUCAAUGGAUCUUACUGCAAAACUAAUUAAUUUCAGUUGUGAAAGUUUUGGAUCAUAAAGAGUCCAAUUCCUUCAAGGGGUAUUAUAUUCUUGUACCUCAAAAUUUGGCUGAAUGAGAAGAAAAUUUUUCUCUUUCAUUUACUGGUAAAUAGCUUCUAGGACAAUGGAUCUGCUCAGAGUUGUGGAUUCAAUUUUUUCUCAUCAUUUUGCCCUAUUAUAUCACAACAUUUCCACCAAUGAGGUUCUUUCCUCGAACAUCAUCACAAGCUCCAACUCUUUCCAGUCCUUCUUCCCACUGCCCAGUCCAAAGGAGAGAAAGUGACUCACCAUAUAUUUUCACCGCCAACUCAGUUCCUCAAAACAAUGGCUCCAUACCUCGUCCUUCCUAAUAACCUAUGCAGUUCUCAAGCUAGCAAUACCAAAUUGGAGAGCCAUACUAAAUUAAGAAAUGCAUGUAGAAAACUCUCAUCAUGGCACUUUCCUCUCAAAAACCUGACUAGCGUUCCUCACAUGUCUAAACCCAUGACAUGCCCCAGUGUAUCCAUCUACUCUAGUAACAAAUAUCCACACCUCCAUUCCAUUAUAAAACCUUACUAUUAACAAGGUCAUGGCUUGUAAAUUUUGAUGCUUAAUAGCCAUGUAUUGAAGGACAUAUAAACAGACAUAUGCAUAUUAUUUUAUUUUAUUUUAUCUUUUUUUGAGGGGGGAGGGGAAGCAGCUUGGAGGAGGAUUGAUGACACCAAUACUUGACACAACGAUUAUGAUACCCAUAAAAACUGCAGCUACAAUAUCAAAAGCAAUUUAAAGUCAGAGAAAAUAAUAGAACAAUAACUAAAAAGCUCAUAAAAACAUAAACCUUAAUCAACACAAGUUCUACAACUAAUACUCACAAAUUCAGAUUUUUACUCACAUGGGUA
rnacentral:lncRNA from 1 species